AUUGAACGCUGGCGGCAGGCCUAACACAUGCAAGUCGAACGAGCGGCGGACGGGUGAGUAAUGUAUGGGGAACUGCCCGAUAGAGGGGGAUAACUACUGGAAACGGUGGCUAAUACCGCAUACUAUCGGAUGUACCCAUAUGGGAUUAGCUAGUAGGUGGGGUAAAGGCUCACCUAGGCGACGAUCUCUAGCUGGUCUGAGAGGAUGAGCAGCCACACUGGAACUGAGACAAGGGCCAGACUCCUACGGGAGGCAGCAGUGGGGAAUAUUGCACAAUGGGCGCAAGCCUGAUGCAGCCAUGCCGCGUGUAUGAAGAAGGCCUUCGGGUUGUAAAGUACUUUCAGCGGGGAGGCGUUACCCGCAGAAGAAGCACCGGCUAACUCCGUGCCAGCAGCCGCGGUAAUAC
rnacentral:rRNA from 1 species